rnacentral:rRNA from 1 species
UACGAAGGGGGCUAGCGUUGUUCGGAAUCACUGGGCGUAAAGCGCACGCAGGCGGCUUGAUAAGUCGGGGGUGAAAUCCCGGGGCUCAACCUCGGAAUUGCCUUCGAUACUGUCUGUCUUGAGUCCGGGAGAGGUGAGUGGAAUUCCUAGUGUAGAGGUGAAAUUCGUAGAUAUUAGGAAGAACACCAGUGGCGAAGGCGGCUCACUGGCCCGGUACUGACGCUCAUGUGCGAAAGCGUGGGGAGCAAACAGG